GAUGAACGCUGGCGGCGUGCCUAAUACAUGCAAGUCGAGCGAAAAGACGAGGAGCUUGCUCCUCUGACGUUAGCGGCGGACGGGUGAGUAACACGUGGAUAACCUACCUAUAAGACUGGGAUAACUUCGGGAAACCGGAGCUAAUACCGGAUAACAUGUUGAACCGCAUGGAUCAACAGUGAAAGACGGUCUUGCUGUCACUUAUAGAUGGAUCCGCGCCGCAUUAGCUAGUUGGUAAGGUAACGGCUUACCAAGGCAACGAUGCGUAGCCGACCUGAGAGGGUGAUCAGCCACACUGGAACUGAGACACGGUCCAGACUCCUACGGGAGGCAGCAGUAGGGAAUCUUGCGCAAUGGGCGAAAGCCUGACGGAGCAACGCCGCGUGAGUGAAGAAGGUCUUCGGAUCGUAAAGCUCUUUUAUUAGGAAAGAACAAAUGUGUAAGUAACUAUGCACGUCUUGACGGUACCUAAUCAGAAAGCCACGGCUAACUACGUG
rnacentral:rRNA from 1 species